CUUCUCAUUGUCUAUGCCCGCAAAUUACCAAUAUUCCCUUUCACAUGAAUUAAGCUUCUAAAUCUCUUUGCAUUGCAUUCAUGGCCACUCAAACACCCUCUUCAUCUACUCCUGAAGUCAGUAAGAAGAAAAAAAGAGACAAUUCAUCUUCGUCUCGAUGGAAACAUGAAGUUUUCCUUAGUUUCUAUGGCAAAGACACUCGCACGAGUUUUACGGAUCAUCUAUAUGCUGAUUUAAAACGGAAAGGUAUUCUCGUAUUUAGGGAUGAUGAAGCACUCCAGCGAGGAGAAGACAUUUCUAAAGCGCUUCGGAAAGCAAUUCAAAAAUCACAAUACGGCAUCGUCAUUCUUUCGAAAAAUUAUGCUUCUUCCAAAUGGUGCCUCAGGGAACUUGCCGAGAUCGUUGAAUGGGAGAAAAAGACGAAGCUGAUCAAAAUUAUUCCUAUUUUCUACUAUGUGGAUCCUUCAGACGUAAGAAAUCAAAGAGGAACUUUUGCAAAAGCUUUCGCCGCACAUGAGAAAGAUCCCAAGCUAGACAUCAAAGAGAUUAAAAUGUGGAAAAAAGCUUUCAGUAAGGUGGGCAAUAUUAAAGGAGAGCACAUACAUGACAGGUACGAAUCAACAAUUAUACAAGACAUCAGUAGACGUAUAUCUCGUAAGUUGAAUUCUAGGUUCUCUAGUCAUGAUUACGAUAAACUUGUUGCAAUAGACUGCCCUGUAGUCAAAAUGAUGAAGUUAUUGGAUAUGGAAUCGGAUGAUGUUCUCUUCGUAGGAAUUCAUGGGAUGGGUGGCGUUGGUAAGACAACGCUGGCCGAAAUAAUUUAUGAUAGAGUUUCUAAUUCUAAUAGUCGAUUUGAAGGAAGCAGCUUUAUUUCUUGUAUUAGAGAAAAAUCUGUUAGUGCUCGUGAUUUAGCUUCUUUACAAAAAGAACUCCUUUCUACAAUCAUGGAAGAAGAAAUACAUGUAUGGGAUCAAAACCAGGGAUAUCGGAUGAGAAAGAAGAUGCUGAGUAAUAAAAGGGUUUUUAUUGUCCUUGAUGAUGUGGAUAGUGACGAGCAACUGACGGCAUUAGCAGGGGAUCGGAAAUGGUUUGGUCCAGGGAGUAGGGUGAUUAUAACAAGCAGAGAUAGUCAUCUGUUGAAGAGACAUGGAGUGAAUGAUAUCUAUAAGGUUGAGCAGCUUCAAGAAGAUGAAGCAUUGCAGCUCUUUAGUUUGUCAGCGUUCGACAAAACCCAUCCACCAAAGAAUUACAAGGAUCUAUCUAUGGAUUUUGUGAAUUAUGCUCAAGGCCUUCCUUUAGCUCUUAAAGUUUUGGGUUCCUUCUUAUAUGAGAGAGAAAUAGAUGCAUGGAAAAGUGUGAGAGAUAAACUAAAAGCAAUUCCUAAUCCAAAAAUUAUGGAUGUACUUCAAAUAAGUUUUGAUGGGCUGGAGGAAUCGCAAAAAGAGUUAUUUUUGGAUAUAGCGUUUGUCUUCGGAGGACAUGAGCACAUAUCUUCUGGGAUGUUAUUAGAAAGUUUUGGUCAUUAUCGCAUCGACAUUGAUAUUCUCCUCGAGAAGUCCAUCAUAAGCAAAUCAAAAUAUGGAUGGUUGUCCAUGCAUGAUUUGCUAAAAGAACUGGGCAGGGAAAUAGUUCGCCGCGAAUGCCCUGAAGAACCUGGACGACGUAGUAGACUGUUUUGUCACGAGGAUAUCUUUCACGUACUGAAGAAUGAUACUGGAACUGAUGCAACUAAAGGCAUAGCCCUGGAUUUUUGUCCUGGAACGGAAGAUCAGAGACUCAACGCCAAAGCAUUUUCAAAGAUGAUAAAAUUGAGAUAUCUUAUAUUCUAUGAUUCCCGAACUUUAAAAUGGCGUGGAAAUCCAUUAAAAUACAUGCCAACCAAUGAGUUGCGAUUUCUAGAGUGGCCUGGAUAUCAUUCGAAAUCCUUCCCGAACAGUUUCCAACCAAAAAAUCUUACUGUACUAAGGAUGCCUUUUAGCCGUUUCAAACAACUAUGGAAGGGUUCGAUGCAGGUUUUAGACAAUUUGAAGGAAUUUGAUCUGAGUUAUUCUGAGAACUUGAUUGAAAUACCAGAUUUGACUGGAGUCCCAAAUCUUGAGAAAAUAAACCUGGAAGGUUGUAGAAGCUUGCGUGAGUUGCACCCAUCCAUCGGAAGUCUCAAAAAAUUAAAAGCAUUGGCAUUUGACGAAUGUUCAAGCCUUGAGAAGUUUCCAGACCUGAGUAGUUCGGAAUGCCUGAACGAACUUUGGACAAGGGAAACUGCUAUAACACAAAUACCAUCUGUCAAUCUAAUGCCCGAGAGCAUCCAUGAGAUUAGUCUUGGAGGACGAAAGUUGAUGCGACUUAAAUCAAGAGAUCCCAUCUAUGAUAUCGGAUCACUUGUAGAAUAUCAGAAGGAAGGAAUAUAUGAUUACGUAGAAGCAGCGUACAUUGAUUUUGACAGCAAAGGAGAAAAUAUUUUAGACAUGGCAGGUGGAGUUGUUUCGGCUUUAGAUGACUUUGAUGACCCGAGAAAAAAAAAAGAUGACGAUUUGGUGAGUUUCUCUCAUUCUUUUCCUUAAGAGGGCCCAGUAUAAAAGUAAUGUCUCCUCUGUAAAUAGAUAGAUUUGGAUGCUAAUAAGAAUCCGGAAAUAGGGUGUGCUUUCUUUAUUGUCUGUGAUUCUGAUCAAUAUUAUGGACAUACUUCAAUUUCUUCGUUAUUCGAGGGAUUGAAUAGUGAGAUUUCACAGGUGGGGCUUACAUUAGUGUUUGAGACGGAUAACAUUGAAGAAUAUUGUGUGAAUUGCAGAUUAAGAACUCCUCCCUUGAACGUCACUUUCGGUAAGCAAAUUGGAUUCUGGGCGUAUAUCUGAACUAUAUCUGACUCUGAUAUUUGAGCACUGCCAUGAACUUCUUGCCACCAUUAUUUAAAAUCCAGUUAUCUACUGACCAAAGUCUCAAAACAUGAAGAUUAAUGGAGGAAAUUAAGCACAGGCAUACCUUGCUGAAGUACCUCUUAAGCAAUAACUCAGUCACCACUCCACACAUGCCAUAAAAGUAGGGAUUGCUUUGCCCUUAUAAUAGACUCAAUUAGUGGACAGGGCCUUAUUCCUGCUAUGGUUUAUGGAAGGAACAUAAGGGACCAAGAAUUUGGGGGAGUGUACUGGAUGGUCAACUCAUUCAUCGUAUCGGCUGAUAUUCUUCGAGUUUUUGGUCGAGAAGUUGCAGAACUCCCUUUAGUUGCAACAAGUAUAGGUAACAUGGAAAGGUGAGAAUCUAAUGACUGCUCAGCUAGUGAUGUUUACCAUUUACCCCCUGCCUUCACAAACUUGUGAUUCAGUUGGAAAAUUUAAAACUUUUGCAGUCUAUUGUGAGGUGUCCUCUUUUUUGUUUUUAAUCAGUUUUUGAAAAGAUACCUUCUCCUGGGAUAUGCAACCAAGGGCCUAGGUACUGGACUAGUUGGCUUCUUCAAUAAUAUUGCUGAACCUUGGCCAGAAGUUACUACUUGUGCCUGAACCUUGGCCUUUAAAUUUCUAUUUGUUAUAGCUGUAGGGAUCUCUAGUUUUGUUUUCUUUUGAAUUUAAAUUUCUACUUGUGACAAUGAAUUUUCCGUAUCUAUUAUUUUUGCCCACUUACAGUUCUCUAGAUCUGGGAAUAAACCAUACCAUAAAUCUUGCUACAAGGAGAAUCACCACCCUAUAUGUGAUAUCCAUAGUGGAAUAUAU